UUGCUGUGGAUUUCACAUCAGCGACUUCCCCUCUCGCGCCUUUUAUACACUUUGGCAGCUCCCUCGGCCCUCCUCCCCAUUCAUCAGCUCCAGUGAGAGGAUUCCCCGCUGCGUGUAAACUUCAUGCCCAUAUAUGGACAGAGGAUGUGACGGAGUCCCCCCUCCUAACUGUACCUCCUCCCAUACUGGAGGGAUGGAGUCUGACGUUGCAACAAGUGGCGACCAGUGUUUGAUGGACGAUGCAGCCUGCAGCAGACCUCUGGCACUGGCUGGAGGUUCAGGACCAUGGAUAGCGACGGUGCUGCAUUCAGCCGUGUAAUCACACAUGAACCAGCAACGCACACACACACAAUUUACUUCUCCCUCUACACUAAAUGGUGGCUGUGGUUGUGUGAACUGCAUUUCUCUUUUGUAUUAAAACAGCCCCAGAGAAGAA